rnacentral:tRNA from 1 species
GGGUGUAUAGCUCAGUUGGUUAGAGCACCUGACUUUUAAUCAGGGAGUCGAAGGUUCAAGUCCUUCUACACCCA